rnacentral:rRNA from 1 species
UACGGGAGGCAGCAGGGGGAAUAUUGCACAAUGGGCGCAAGCCUGAUGCAGCCAUGCCGCGUGUAUGAAGAAGGCCUUCGGGUUGUAAAGUACUUUCAGUCGUGAGGAAGGUGUUAAGGUUAAUAACCUUAGCAAUUGACGUUAGCGACAGAAGAAGCACCGGCUAACUCCGUGCCAGCAGCCGCGGUAAUACGGAGGGUGCGAGCGUUAAUCGGAAUUACUGGGCGUAAAGGGCACGCAGGCGGUUAAUUAAGUUGGAUGUGAAAUCCCCGGGCUUAACCUGGGAAUGGCAUUCAAGACUGGUUAGCUAGAGUCUUGUAGAGGGGGUAGAAUUCCAUGUGUAGCGGUGAAAUGCGUAGAGAUGUGGAGGAAUACCGGUGGCGAAGGCGGCCCCUGGACAAAGACUGACGCUCAUGUGCGAAAGCGUGGGGAGCAAACGAGGGAUUAGAUA